UCAUUCUGUUCACUUCAGUCAGCAAGCGUGUGGAGCCCAGUUAACAUCAACAACUACACAAAGUCUUCUUCGUACUGCUUCUUCAGCAGAAUGAGAGCCAAGUGGAGGAAGAAGCGUAUGCGCAGACUGAAACGAAAGAGGCGAAAAAUGAGGCAGCGGUCCCAGUAAAGCACUUGUUGAGUUUGACUUGAUCUUUGUUAGAGUGAAAACUGGAGGCCUUGGAUUACACCACAAUUGUGGCUGAAAACCUAGAUUGUUCCUGAGCCCAAACAUUGGAUGAAGAUGUUUUCAUGACA